rnacentral:rRNA from 1 species
GUAGGUGGCAAGCGUUGUCCGGAAUUAUUGGGCGUAAAGCGCGCGCAGGCGGUUCUUUAAGUCUGAUGUGAAAGCCCACGGGCUCAACCGUGGAGGGUCAUUGGAAACUGGAGAACUUGAGUACAGAAGAGGAAAGCGGAAUUCCACGUGUAGCGGUGGAAUGCGUAGAGAUGUGGAGGAACACCAGUGGCGAAGGCGGCUUUCUGGUCUGUAACUGACGCUGAGGCGCGAAAGCGUGGGGAGCAAACAGGAUUAGAUACCCUGGUAGUCCACGCGGUAAACGAUGAGUGCUAAGUGUUAGGGGGUUUCCGCCCCUUAGUGCUGCAGCUAACGCAUUAAGCACUCCGCCUGGGGAGUACGGCCGCAAGGCUG